CGUCCCGAUCAGUCAUUCAGAAUUCAUAUACCCGCAGUUACAUAAGUAACCCCCAGUUUCAAAUCAGGCCUUCAGACAACAAACCUCACAGGUCCAGUUUGUACAGGAGGGUUUUACAAUCUGAAUUCCCAUCAAACCAUGUGAACGCUCAGGUGACGUGGAUCACUCAUAACCUAAAACACUGAGGUCUGCUGUGCGACUCAACAAUGGUGGCUGCGCCGCGUUUUGUCCAAGGGCCUUGACAACAGCAAAAUGGGGGGGAAAUGAACUUCAAAUUGAGUCCCACGAGAACUAGAGAAGCCAAAUAGUCAGGUCCAGAAGUAUUUGGACAGUGAUGAUUUUGGAAUCUGUGCACCAAAUCAACGUGCCUGUAGAGGAGAUUUUCAGCUUUAAUUCAAAGGGGUUUAACAAAAAUUAGGAAUUAUAUCUAUUUAUAUGCAUAGUCUCUCAAUUUUCACAACCAACUGACUGCAUGGGGGGUGGUCAAGUGGUUAGUGGACUUUCUCCAUAUAAUGUGGCGUUGUGUCAGGAAAGGCAUCCGGCAUAAAACUUGCGUCGAAUCAACUUGCAGAUCCACCCUGGAGUUACAGGCUUCUGUGGCUGUGAUGAAAACAGUGAUGGUGCAACUUUUGUCUGUUGCAUCACUGGUCACAGUUUCGUGGCGGGGUGUUGCACAGGAGGACAUUUAUACAAGAAAGCAGAUUAAAUGAAGGCUCCGGUUUCAGAUGCCUCAGAUCCCAGACCUUCUGGGAAACUGCAGCUGAAAUUUCACACCUUCUUUUUCAGAAAAGCCUUCUCUAUUACGCUUUAAAUUUAAGCUGUGACUGGUGAUGCCACAGAUAGCAUUGCACUAUGCACAAUUUCUCAAAAUUGCCAUGGGUGUCUUGGUGGCUCCCCUCACUAGUAUUCCUUGCAUGGUCUGUCUGUUUUUGACAAAUGUCUACUUCAGACAGAUUUACCAUAGAGUACUGCACUGUUUGUAUUUCUUAAUGAUUGUUGUAAAUGAAGUCCAAGACACAUUUGGUUAUUUGGAAGUCUUCAUGUAUCCAUCCCCUGGCUCAUCAAAAGAAAUUGAUUUGUUUUUGUUUGUUUGUUUGUUUGUUUUUAAUUAUUGAUUUAAAAAUCCUUAGUAUAACUUCUGGACAAAUAAAGGAAUGUAUAUAAAAAGUGUUUGUAAUUCCUAAAUGGGUAACAAGAGUUAGUUUUGUUAAACUCUUUGAAUUAAAGAUGAACAUCUUGGUUGCUUCAUUUGGACUUGAAUGUGGAGGCAAGAUUCCCCCCCC